rnacentral:lncRNA from 1 species
GUACACUCCGUGACUCCGUUCGCACUAGCUAGCGCGUCCAGAUUCCCCUUCUGCCUAAAGCCUACCGUAUGUCUAAAGUCUUCAGCAGUAUUCUCCUCGCAUCGACCCCGCUCGCGCUCUCCAACCGUCCUAGGGAGCGUCGGACGUCCUCCAGCUCUGCUUAGCCACGUGCAGACGCAUUGUGUUUGAUAAAACAAGUGAUAUGAGUACGAAUAGUCAGUCACAGAAUGAGGGCGCCUAUAACUCUCCCUCGUCGGAGUUCACCGGCCCGACGUUACCGGCCCCGGGCGCGCCUGAAUCCGUGGAAGGUGAGCGGGGACAGGCGCGGGGGCGCCCUCAGCAUCGGCAGCGAGCAGGCACGCCCUCCGCACGCGGACUCAGCUGAGUAAGCCCCCCCCCUUAUGGGUGCGCCGCACCCCCGGGGCACGCUAACAGUCGUGGACGCCCUCGCGGCCUUCAACGUGCUGCUCGCCCUCCUACAAGCGUACUUCCCGUCGACGAAGGUUGUCGCGAUGAUUCUCCUCGGAGUUGCAGUGACAGGUGAAGCCACCCCAGGAGGGCAGGAUGGGCAGCACAACGUCACUGCUACUCCGAUUAGGAUCAUCGCGACAACCUUCGUCGACGGGAAGCACGCUUGAAGGAGGGCGAGCAGCACGUUGAAGGCCGCGAGGGUGUCCACGACUGUGAAAAGGGGAGGAUGCCGCUAAGCCAGCUUCUCGUGCGCUGGGCCUGAGGUGAAGCCGCAGAAUGACAGCGCCAGGUGCAGAAACCACGUGACAUCCUCUGCGCAGGUUGUGCGAAAUACGUUGGGCAUCGACUGUUCAGCUGCAUCGAAAGUGUCCCCGGUACUCACCCUUGCUGAACCAUCUCUGCUCUUCCCGCAGCGCCUGGAGCUCGGCGCGUAUUUCGGCCCUGAGUGCUGCCAGCUCCUCCUGGAACUGCUGCGGCUGCUGCGGCUGCUGCGGUACCGCGUCCAUUUCAGCAGUCGGAAUUAAGCAAAGUCUUUCGAGGAGUUAGUGCGUUUCCGGUUUGGUCAGCCGCAGACACUUGAUCCCACAAUUCCAGCGACUUUUGCGACCGGCUCUCCACCGACCGCUUGGAUGCUUGCGCCCGGUCGCUGCCCCAGCUACUUCCGCGGUGAAAUAACAACGGUGAGCACUCUCAACCACUGCGAGGACAGCCCUAGCAACCGCACUGCGUAAGAAGUACAGCAUCGAUUUGCUGCAUGUUGAUUUUGGCGCAAAUGGGGGGUGCAAGCAGUUUGUUUCUCUCAGACGCGAGCUAGCGCCCAAGCGCGCGAUAUGGGGGCGAGGAGCCACUAUGUAGCUGUAACGAUUGCAUGAGUGGCGAAUUUUACUUCGAGGGUCUAGGGUGCGAGCGGAGUGGGAUUACCCCCCGAGGGGCACGCCAUGCGCUCAGGCCCCAUGCAACAGAAAUUCGCCGGGCACCAACCCACGCACAGAUAAUUCAUAGGACUACACCAUAGCCAUCAGAGACCGGCCGGGAACAAGCCCCGCAAGCGGGGCAGCAUGGGCGCGACACCACCCUGCCGCGCCAACUCACCCCAAACACGCCCCAACCACUUGUGCGACACAAGGGCUACCAUACAGUAGCGCGCGACACCUAAUCGCGUGCGCCGGAGUGUGCGAGCAAACAUUGUACGGAGGAGCUCGUUUGGGCCCUAGGACGCAGGGCCUGGGCUGGCAUUUGGUGCAUUCAAUAGAGCAUAGAAAACCGAGGCCACAUAUGUGCUCGGGUGCGCAAAGGUCGGCGGAAUUGUGGGAUCAAGUGACGUGGAAAUGGAUCUGGGGGACUGCGGGGUUUUGGGGUGUGUUGGGUUGGUGGCGUGAAGGGUGUGAUUUGUGAGGAAUUUAUCGAUGCAUGCCAAGUUGCACGCCUUUCCCCUGUGUUUCCUACAUGCCCCUGAACCCUCCCUUUGCUGGCUGCAGGCGAAGCGACAAGUGGUACCGCUGGUACCACCCACGGGGGCCUUGUGCCCAAGCCGGGNNNNNNNNNNNNNNNNNNNNNNNNNNNNNNNNNNNNNNNNNNNNNNNNNNNNNNNNNNNNNNNNNNNNNNNNNNNNNNNNNNNNNNNNNNNNNNNNNNNNUGGUACUAUACACGUGGCGGUCAUCGACAUUGCUUUGUGCCGGCGCGCAGCACCCAGGAUGUGCGGCGAUCGCUGAAAUGCAGUUGUGGGGUCCACACUCAUAUGGCACCCACGCCCCACACAGCACUGAUGCAGGGCUCCUGCAGCCGUCACGCCAUGGGAAUCAGCAUAUGGGCAGUGGCCUGUGCAUACUUCUCUGUGGCCUGGCGGGGCAUCUGGCCAGGGCGUUUGACUAGCGGCAUGGGGCCUGCACGCCGGUAGGGGGGCGCAGGCCCAAAAUGAUGCAAGGAAGCUGAUGUGUUGCGUGAGGUGCGCAGCGGUUCCUGAUGGACGUGGGUGCUUUCAUGCGUAUGUAUAUUGGCUAUGUGUGUUGAUCUUUGCACCAGGGUGGUGUCGCCGCGCAGCGGAGCAUUGGUGUUGGUGCACGGGGCGUGAACAUUGGGGCCCGCAGUUGGGAUCGCGCCGGCACGGUCGCGGGCACCGCUGAAGAUAUGUUGGCGCGACCGGUCGCUUAUGGUGCACGCUAAUACCCGCAUACUGUGUGUAAGCACCGAUUGCAAUUAUAAGUUGCGCAUGUAGAUAUCGGUCUUCUCCCGACAUGCGCUCUGAUGACGGUUCCAUUUCCGCCAACUUAGGGUGAGAGUUAAGAGCCGGAGCCCUGUUGCCACCUGCAAAAUGCCUUAGCAACAUGUGGCAACUAUCUGCCCGAAGCAAGUUGCAAGCCAGCCCAGUUCAGGUUGCCACAUGCCAUGCUGGGUAUUCCCAGCGCGCUAGCGCACCUGCUUGGGCAGCUCGCUAUGGCUGCCGUCGACAGUUGACCCUGGUAUGCCAUCGCUAGAGUCGCAGCCCGCUCCGGCCAACCUCGCUCCUCCGCAACCGACACACGAACCCGACGUCACUUGAUCCCACAAUUCCAGCGACUUUUGCGACCGGCUCUCCACCGACCGCUUGGAUGCUUGCGCCCGGUCGCUGCCCCAGCUACUUCCGCGGUGAAAUAACAACGGUGAGCACUCUCAACCACUGCGAGGACAGCCCUAGCAACCGCACUGCGUAAGAAGUACAGCAUCGAUUUGCUGCAUGUUGAUUUUGGCGCAAAUGGGGGGUGCAAGCAGUUUGUUUCUCUCAGACGCGAGCUAGCGCCCAAGCGCGCGAUAUGGGGGCGAGGAGCCACUAUGUAGCUGUAACGAUUGCAUGAGUGGCGAAUUUUACUUCGAGGGUCUAGGGUGCGAGCGGAGUGGGAUUACCCCCCGAGGGGCACGCCAUGCGCUCAGGCCCCAUGCAACAGAAAUUCGCCGGGCACCAACCCACGCACAGAUAAUUCAUAGGACUACACCAUAGCCAUCAGAGACCGGCCGGGAACAAGCCCCGCAAGCGGGGCAGCAUGGGCGCGACACCACCCUGCCGCGCCAACUCACCCCAAACACGCCCCAACCACUUGUGCGACACAAGGGCUACCAUACAGUAGCGCGCGACACCUAAUCGCGUGCGCCGGAGUGUGCGAGCAAACAUUGUACGGAGGAGCUCGUUUGGGCCCUAGGACGCAGGGCCUGGGCUGGCAUUUGGUGCAUUCAAUAGAGCAUAGAAAACCGAGGCCACAUAUGUGCUCGGGUGCGCAAAGGUCGGCGGAAUUGUGGGAUCAAGUGACGUGGAAAUGGAUCUGGGGGACUGCGGGGUUUUGGGGUGUGUUGGGUUGGUGGCGUGAAGGGUGUGAUUUGUGAGGAAUUUAUCGAUGCAUGCCAAGUUGCACGCCUUUCCCCUGUGUUUCCUACAUGCCCCUGAACCCUCCCUUUGCUGGCUGCAGGCGAAGCGACAAGUGGUACCGCUGGUACCACCCACGGGGGCCUUGUGCCCAAGCCGUGGUGGCGCAUGGUAACUAUACACGUGGCGGUCAUCGACAUUGCUUUGUGCCGGCGCGCAGCACCCAGGAUGUGCGGCGAUCGCUGAAAUGCAGUUGUGGGGUCCACACUCAUAUGGCACCCACGCCCCACACAGCACUGAUGCAGGGCUCCUGCAGCCGUCACGCCAUGGGAAUCAGCAUAUGGGCAGUGGCCUGUGCAUACUUCUCUGUGGCCUGGCGGGGCAUCUGGCCAGGGCGUUUGACUAGCGGCAUGGGGCCUGCACGCCGGUAGGGGGGCGCAGGCCCAAAAUGAUGCAAGGAAGCUGAUGUGUUGCGUGAGGUGCGCAGCGGUUCCUGAUGGACGUGGGUGCUUUCAUGCGUAUGUAUAUUGGCUAUGUGUGUUGAUCUUUGCACCAGGGUGGUGUCGCCGCGCAGCGGAGCAUUGGUGUUGGUGCACGGGGCGUGAACAUUGGGGCCCGCAGUUGGGAUCGCGCCGGCACGGUCGCGGGCACCGCUGAAGAUAUGUUGGCGCGACCGGUCGCUUAUGGUGCACGCUAAUACCCGCAUACUGUGUGUAAGCACCGAUUGCAAUUAUAAGUUGCGCAUGUAGAUAUCGGUCUUCUCCCGACAUGCGCUCUGAUGACGGUUCCAUUUCCGCCAACUUAGGGUGAGAGUUAAGAGCCGGAGCCCUGUUGCCACCUGCAAAAUGCCUUAGCAACAUGUGGCAACUAUCUGCCCGAAGCAAGUUGCAAGCCAGCCCAGUUCAGGUUGCCACAUGCCAUGCUGGGUAUUCCCAGCGCGCUAGCGCACCUGCUUGGGCAGCUCGCUAUGGCUGCCGUCGACAGUUGACCCUGGUAUGCCAUCGCUAGAGUCGCAGCCCGCUCCGGCCAACCUCGCUCCUCCGCAACCGACACACGAACCCGACGUCUGACGUGGAAAUGGAUCUGGGGGACUGCGGGGUUUUGGGGUGUGUUGGGUUGGUGGCGUGAAGGGUGUGAUUUGUGAGGAAUUUAUCGAUGCAUGCCAAGUUGCACGCCUUUCCCCUGUGUUUCCUACAUGCCCCUGAACCCUCCCUUUGCUGGCUGCAGGCGAAGCGACAAGUGGUACCGCUGGUACCACCCACGGGGGCCUUGUGCCCAAGCCGUGGUGGCGCAUGGUAACUAUACACGUGGCGGUCAUCGACAUUGCUUUGUGCCGGCGCGCAGCACCCAGGAUGUGCGGCGAUCGCUGAAAUGCAGUUGUGGGGUCCACACUCAUAUGGCACCCACGCCCCACACAGCACUGAUGCAGGGCUCCUGCAGCCGUCACGCCAUGGGAAUCAGCAUAUGGGCAGUGGCCUGUGCAUACUUCUCUGUGGCCUGGCGGGGCAUCUGGCCAGGGCGUUUGACUAGCGGCAUGGGGCCUGCACGCCGGUAGGGGGGCGCAGGCCCAAAAUGAUGCAAGGAAGCUGAUGUGUUGCGUGAGGUGCGCAGCGGUUCCUGAUGGACGUGGGUGCUUUCAUGCGUAUGUAUAUUGGCUAUGUGUGUUGAUCUUUGCACCAGGGUGGUGUCGCCGCGCAGCGGAGCAUUGGUGUUGGUGCACGGGGCGUGAACAUUGGGGCCCGCAGUUGGGAUCGCGCCGGCACGGUCGCGGGCACCGCUGAAGAUAUGUUGGCGCGACCGGUCGCUUAUGGUGCACGCUAAUACCCGCAUACUGUGUGUAAGCACCGAUUGCAAUUAUAAGUUGCGCAUGUAGAUAUCGGUCUUCUCCCGACAUGCGCUCUGAUGACGGUUCCAUUUCCGCCAACUUAGGGUGAGAGUUAAGAGCCGGAGCCCUGUUGCCACCUGCAAAAUGCCUUAGCAACAUGUGGCAACUAUCUGCCCGAAGCAAGUUGCAAGCCAGCCCAGUUCAGGUUGCCACAUGCCAUGCUGGGUAUUCCCAGCGCGCUAGCGCACCUGCUUGGGCAGCUCGCUAUGGCUGCCGUCGACAGUUGACCCUGGUAUGCCAUCGCUAGAGUCGCAGCCCGCUCCGGCCAACCUCGCUCCUCCGCAACCGACACACGAACCCGACGUCAGACGUGGAAAUGGAUCUGGGGGACUGCGGGGUUUUGGGGUGUGUUGGGUUGGUGGCGUGAAGGGUGUGAUUUGUGAGGAAUUUAUCGAUGCAUGCCAAGUUGCACGCCUUUCCCCUGUGUUUCCUACAUGCCCCUGAACCCUCCCUUUGCUGGCUGCAGGCGAAGCGACAAGUGGUACCGCUGGUACCACCCACGGGGGCCUUGUGCCCAAGCCGUGGUGGCGCAUGGUAACUAUACACGUGGCGGUCAUCGACAUUGCUUUGUGCCGGCGCGCAGCACCCAGGAUGUGCGGCGAUCGCUGAAAUGCAGUUGUGGGGUCCACACUCAUAUGGCACCCACGCCCCACACAGCACUGAUGCAGGGCUCCUGCAGCCGUCACGCCAUGGGAAUCAGCAUAUGGGCAGUGGCCUGUGCAUACUUCUCUGUGGCCUGGCGGGGCAUCUGGCCAGGGCGUUUGACUAGCGGCAUGGGGCCUGCACGCCGGUAGGGGGGCGCAGGCCCAAAAUGAUGCAAGGAAGCUGAUGUGUUGCGUGAGGUGCGCAGCGGUUCCUGAUGGACGUGGGUGCUUUCAUGCGUAUGUAUAUUGGCUAUGUGCUUCCANNNNNNNNNNNNNNNNNNNNNNNNNNNNNNNNNNNNNNNNNNNNNNNNNNNNNNNNNNNNNNNNNNNNNNNNNNNNNNNNNNNNNNNNNNNNNNNNNNNNUGCCUUAGCAACAUGUGGCAACUAUCUGCCCGAAGCAAGUUGCAAGCCAGCCCAGUUCAGGUUGCCACAUGCCAUGCUGGGUAUUCCCAGCGCGCUAGCGCACCUGCUUGGGCAGCUCGCUAUGGCUGCCGUCGACAGUUGACCCUGGUAUGCCAUCGCUAGAGUCGCAGCCCGCUCCGGCCAACCUCGCUCCUCCGCAACCGACACACGAACCCGACGUCACUUGAUCCCACAAUUCCAGCGACUUUUGCGACCGGCUCUCCACCGACCGCUUGGAUGCUUGCGCCCGGUCGCUGCCCCAGCUACUUCCGCGGUGAAAUAACAACGGUGAGCAC